GCCUACGGGACGCAGCAGUGAGGAAUAUUGGUCAAUGGUCGGGAGACUGAACCAGCCAAGCCGCGUGAGGGAUGAAGGUACAGAGUAUCGUAAACCUCUUUUGUCAGGGAACAAAGGCGGGGACGUGUCCCCGGAUGAGUGUACCUGAAGAAAAAGCAUCGGCUAACUCCGUGCCAGCAGCCGCGGUAAUACGGAGGAUGCGAGCGUUAUCCGGAUUUAUUGGGUUUAAAGGGUGCGCGGGCGGUCUGUUAAGUCAGCGGUCAAAGCCCGGGGCUCAACCCCGGCCCGCCAUUGAAACUGGCAGU
rnacentral:rRNA from 1 species